rnacentral:rRNA from 1 species
CGGCGAACGGGUGAGUAAUGCUUCGGAAUCUGCCCAGUAGUGGGGAACAACCAGUCGAAAGACUGGCUAAUACCGCAUACGACCUAAGGGUGAAAGCAGGGGAUCGUAAGACCUUGCGCUAUUGGAUGAGCCGAAGUCGGAUUAGCUAGUUGGUAGGGUAAAGGCCUACCAAGGCGACGAUCCAUAGCUGGUCUGAGAGGAUGAUCAGCCACACUGGAACUGAGACACGGUCCAGACUCC